AUGAGCAGCAGCAAUUCUAUGCCGGUGCCAGCGGCCCCGCUGGAUGAUGAGGACCUUCUCCAGGAGACCCUCCUCUGCCUCCCUCCGCAGCCAUCCUCCCUCCCACGCACCUCGCUUGUCUGCCCGCGCUGGCACCGCAUCCUCUCUUACCCCAAGUUCCUCACCCGCUUCCGCAGACAACACAAGGUACCUCCACUCCUCGGCUUCCUCGCCAAAUCAUGGGGCAUGCCCACCGUCUUCAAACCAGUAGAUCCGCCCUACCACAUCCCUACCGAGCGCUUCUCCGUGCCCAAGCCCAGCAAACUCUACGCUAGCUGGGACUUGCUCGGCCUUGCCGUCCUAGUCAAUAUGUGGCAGCAUGGCCAGAUCAUUGUGUGGGAUCCCCUCUCUGGUCAACAACACCGCGUGAAUUUUCCACCAGGGCUUGAUAACAAUGAAGUGGCGUUCUGGCAUGCCUCGGUGAUGUGUGCAGAUGAUCAAGAUGGGCACGUGCACGGCGAUUGCUUCUCGAGCCCGUUCAAAUUGGUCUUGAUCUGGGUUGUCAGACACAACCAAGCAUCUGCUUGCCUACACGAAUCCGCAUCUGCUGUAUGGGGAGAGACUGUCAUGGAAAUUACAGAUCAAAUUUAUUUCAUUAGUCCCGGUUUUCUUGUUGGGAAUGCACUUUGCUGGUUGCUUAGUGGAGUUGGUGUCCUAGUGUUUGAUCUUCAAAAUCAGAACCUUUGUGUGGUUAAGAACCCAACAUGUAUUACCGUGUCCAUUGGAUCCGUUCAGCUCAUACAGACAAAGGAUAGUAGACUUGGCCUAGCAUACUUGUCUAAACAGACCAUUCAAUUAUGGGAGCGGAAACCGGACUAUGACGGUGUUGUCAGAUGGGUUCUCCUGCAAACAACCAUUCAACUGGAGGAGCUCUUUCCACAGAUGUUUAUGGAUGAAGAAAGUGUAAGAAUAAAGAGGUAUAAUGACAAAUCAGUAGAAAUAAAGGGGCAUGAUGACAACACAAAUGUCAUUGUUCUGUCUACGAUUAGAGGUGACUUCACACUCGAAGUUAACAUGAUGGAGAUCAAACAUAUUAUUAAAAGAAAUUUCAAGUCUUCGAACACCUACUAUCCCUACGUGAAUUUCUAUACCGCAGCUAGAUAUGUUAGAAAUAUGUUCAGUAUGAUGAUCAUAUAG
rnacentral:rRNA from 1 species